UCCAUGUCUUUAAUUAGAUCCAAAUAGAUUUUGAUCUUGAGCUCAACGGUCGAACCCAAAUCCAUGAGUAGAUCCGAUUGAAACUGAUUAAUCAGUUAGUGUCUAAGGUAAGUUUGGCAGUCUUGACUGAUAGCUUUUAUUUAGGAGCUACUCAUAUAGAUUGAGUCUAUGAUGAGUUAAUGGUAUAUCCCUCCCAUCGAUCUCACUUACCUGGCCAAUAUGGUGAAUCAAGUUUUGAUCAGAUUGCUUAAUAAUUAGGGUUGACCCAUGCUUAGUAGAAAAUCAGUUCAACUAAUUUAGGUGCCCCUAAUUCGACUUGUCUUUAUCCUCGACAUGACUUGGUGAAGUCAGUGGGAGGAUUGAUGACUUAUCAGUAGGAUCGGCUUAUUUUUUAGUCCAUCCUAAUCUGACUUGGUGAAGUUAGUGGGAGGA
rnacentral:lncRNA from 1 species